rnacentral:lncRNA from 1 species
GCUUCAAGAGUUCUAGCCCUUAGAACUCGACUAACCACCAGUCGAUCAAAUCUUUCUCCAGACCUGAGUCUGGACCUUUUAGAAUCUUUCAUUAGAUCUGACCAUCUUCUUCUAGACCUCUUAAACCCUUCAUCUUAAGAAGAUUAGGCUUGUCUUAAAAGAACAAGCCUCGUCCUAAAAGAACUAGGGUGGUAAGAGAGGGAGAGAGGGAGUGGAUUAGAUCCGUGCAGGAAUUGAAUGAUCAACCCAU